CAAUACACUGUUCACUGAACUAAAGUUUAAGAUUAAGUUGAACGGAUUAAGAUUAUCCGGAUUAAGAUUAUCCAGAUUAAAUUGGACGGUUUAUACCCCCGUGCAUUAUGCAAUUUUUGCUAUCCAUUACGCAAUUUUUAAACGAUAUUGAUGAAAAAAAAAUCCCUGGGCAAGGACAUUUGCCACCUAAUGGUUUUGCGGGGGGGGGGGCGUACAUUAUCCUCCUGCUGCUGCGCCACACACAGCCGGGAAUUUUCCCUUUCUUCCCAAAAAAAUGCUAACGCCAGAGGGGGGAUGAUCACUCAUGGAAUGGAUGAUUCUCCUUAUUACGUUUUCGUAGCGCUUUGCAUUGUGCUUAUAGUGGUAUCACCAAUAAAGAUAGCGGCCUCGAAUGAGAAUAUUGAAUGUUUUCGCGAACAUUUUGCUGUUGGAUAUCGUGCACCUGACCCUAGCUUUUUUAAAAGUUCUUGCACGGGUGGGGACAAAAAUAAGCCAUCUUGAAUAUCAGUGAUACCACUAUAACCACAAUGCAAAGCGCUACGAAAAUUUAAUAAGGGGAAUCAUGUUUUGACUCAUGCAUAACAAGUUUAAAGAGACAAUCCGAAAACAAGUUAAAUAUUUUCAAUUUAUGUUGCUAGUCUAGUGGGGCAGCACAUUGUCAUGCAUACUCAUAUGAUCUUCAAGUUCAGGGGCAAUUUCAAACUCGGCAUCGCAGACACAACAGAUAUAACCAAUACCAGUUGCUUCUCUUGCUUCUAAUUCCUUACAGACAUCACAUUGGUAGGACGUACCAUGGUCUUUGGCCUUGUGCUGAUAUAAACUUUCAAUAUCCGGGAACAGUUUGUUGCAUUUUUCACAGAGAAAAUGAGCAUCACUCAGUAUCUCAACAGCAUGUCCUUGACCUUGAAUAAUUUCUUUGCCACAGGUGUGGCACAAUAAUAAGCCAUCUCUCAAGUGUGAUCUCCAGUGACGUUUGAAACUUUGUCGUUUUGUGAAUGUUUUCUUGCAGAUACCAAACCCAAAACUCUGGUUUCUCUUGUGAGCUGAUGUUUUAUGUUGUGUUAAAUUGCGUGAUUCUGAAAAUCUCUUGUUGCAAAUGUCACAUUGGUAAGGUUUGUCUCUAGUGUGUCUCCUUUUAUGUCUAGUUAAUUGGCUCGAACAUGAAAAUCUCUUCUUACAAACGACACAUUCAUAAGGUUUGUCUCCAGUGUGUGUUCUCUUAUGAACCACUAAGUAGCCUGAUUGCAAAAAUUGUUUGUUGCAAAAAUCACAUUCAUAAGGUUUCUCUCUAGUAUGCGUUCUUUUAUGUCUGACUAAGGUGCUCGACCGUGAAAAUUGUUUGUUGCAAACAUCACAUUCAUAAGGUUUCUCUCCAGUGUGUGUUCUCUUAUGUUUAGUUAGGGUGCUUGGGUCAGGAAAUCUUUUGUUGCAAACAUCACAUUCAUCAGGUUUCUCUCUAGUAUGCAUUCUUUUAUGUCUGACUAAUGUGCUCGACCGUGAAAAUUGUUUGUUGCAAACGUCACAUUCAUAAGGUUUCUCUCCAGUGUGUGUUCUCUUAUGUUUAGUUAGGUUGCUUGGGUCAGAAAAUCUUUUGUUGCAAACAUCACAUUCAUAAGGUUUCUCUCCAGUGUGUGUUCUCUUAUGUUUAGUUAGGGUGCUUGGGUCAGAAAAUCUUUUGUUGCAAACAUCACAUUCAUAAGGAUUCUCUCCAUUGUGUGUUCUCUUAUGUUUAGUUAGGGUGCUUGGGUCAGAAAAUCUAUUGUUGCAAACAUCACAUUCAUAAGGUUUCUCUCCUGUGUGUGUUCUCUUAUGUCUAACUAAGGUGCCUAACUGUGUAAAUUGUUUGUUGCAAACAUCACAUUCAUAAGGUUUCUCUCCAGUGUGUGUUCUCUCAUGUCUAGUUAGGGUGCUUCGGUCAGAAAAUCUAUUGUUGCAAACAUCACAUUCAUAAGGUUUGUUCCCAGUGUGUGUUCUUUUAUGUCUAGCUAAGUUGCUUGACUGCAAAAAUCUUUUGUUGCAAACAUCACAUUCAUAAGGUUUGUCUCCAGUGUGUGUUCUUUCAUGUCUAGUUAGGGUGCUUGGGUCAGAAAAUCUAUUGUUGCAAACAUCACAUUCAUAAGGUUUGUUCCCAGUGUGUGUUCUUUUAUGUCUAGCUAAGUUGCUUGACUGCAAAAAUCUUUUGUUGCAAACAUCACAUUCAUAAGGUUUGUCUCCAGUGUGUGUUCUUUCAUGUCUAGUUAGGGUGCUUGGGUCAGAAAAUCUAUUGUUGCAAACAUCACAUUCAUAAGGUUUGUUCCCAGUGUGUGUUCUUUUAUGUCUAGCUAAGUUGCUUGACUGCAAAAAUCUUUUGUUGCAAACAUCACAUUCAUAAGGUUUGUCUCCAGUGUGUGUUCUUUCAUGUCUAGUUAGGGUGCUUGGGUCAGAAAAUCUAUUGUUGCAAACAUCACAUUCAUAAGGUUUGUUCCCAGUGUGUGUUCUUUUAUGUCUAGCUAAGUUGCUUGACUGCAAAAAUCUUUUGUUGCAAACAUCACAUUCAUAAGGUUUGUCUCCAGUGUGUGUUCUUUCAUGUCUAGUUAGGGUGCUUGGGUCAGAAAAUCUAUUGUUGCAAACAUCACAUUCAUAAGGUUUGUUCCCAGUGUGUGUUCUUUUAUGUCUAGCUAAGUUGCUUGACUGCAAAAAUCUUUUGUUGCAAACAUCACAUUCAUAAGGUUUGUCUCCAGUGUGUGUUCUUUCAUGUCUAGUUAGGGUGCUUGGGUCAGAAAAUCUAUUGUUGCAAACAUCACAUUCAUAAGGUUUGUUCCCAGUGUGUGUUCUUUUAUGUCUAGCUAAGUUGCUUGACUGCAAAAAUCUUUUGUUGCAAACAUCACAUUCAUAAGGUCUGUCUCCAGUGUGUGUUCUUUCAUGUCUAGUCCUAGUGCUUGGGUCAGAAAAUCUUUUGUUGCAAACACCACAUUCAUAAGGUUUGUCUCCAGUGUGUGUUCUUUUAGGUCUCACUAAAUUUCCUUCCUUUGAAAAUACCUUGUUACAAACAUCAUCACAUUUGCUAGACAUGGUUUCAGCUUUUGAUCUUUUCCUCGUACAGUCACACCUGCGGUCAAAUUUCGAUUAAAAAUAUCACCCAACUGUUCCCUCGAGUCUUUCUUUACUGAAUCUUUAUAAUACUUCGGUUCUUACAGAAAUUCUGAUCAUAAAAACGAGAGUAUUCUAAGACACAGUUCACAAACAACACGUGUAUCAAAAUAUG